GAUGAACGCUAGCGACAGGCUUAACACAUGCAAGUCGAGGGGCAGCGGGGCAGGAAGCUUGCUUUCUGCCGCCGGCGACCGGCGCACGGGUGAGUAACACGUAUGCAACCUGGCCGUGACAGAUGGAUAACCGGGAGAAAUCCCGCCUAAUACAGCAUGACGCCGGGAAGGGACAUCCCUUUCCGGCCAAAGGGGGCGACUCCGGUCACGGAUGGGCAUGCGGCGCAGUAGGUAGUUGGUGGGGCAACGGCCCACCAAGCCGACGAUGCGUAGGGGUUCUGAGAGGAAGGUCCCCCACAUUGGAACUGAGACACGGACCAG
rnacentral:rRNA from 1 species